CCUACGGGGAGCAGCAGUAGGGAAUCUUCCACAAUGGGCGAAAGCCUGAUGGAGCAACGCCGCGUGGGUGAAGAAGGUCUUCGGAUCGUAAAACCCUGUUGUUAGAGAAGAAAGUGCGUGAGAGUAACUGUUCACGUUUCGACGGUAUCUAACCAGAAAGCCACGGCUAACUACGUGCCAGCAGCCGCGGUAAUACGUAGGUGGCAAGCGUUAUCCGGAUUUAUUGGGCGUAAAGGGAACGCAGGCGGUCUUUUAAGUCUGAUGUGAAAGCCUUCGGCUUAACCGGAGUAGUGCAUUGGAAACUGGGAGACUGGAGUGCAGAAGAGGAGAGUGGAACUCCAUGUGUAGCGGUGAAAUGCGUAGAUAUAUGGAAGAACACCAGUGGCGAAAGCGGCUCUCUGGUCUGUAACUGACGCUGAGGUUCGAAAGCGUGGGUAGCAAACAGGAUUAGAUACCCCUGUAGUC
rnacentral:rRNA from 1 species